AGUUUUAAAUAAACUUUUAGAUAAUCUAAAAUUUUCUAAUAUUUUUAUAUCUACAUAGAUUGUUUUAAUGUCUAAAAUUCUAGAAACAAAAAUGUCAACGACUUUAUGCAUUUAAGUUAUCGUAAUCAAAGAAACCUCUUUUACUCAAACAAAGUAAGAGUUGGUUCUCCUCAAAUCAUUGAAAUCAUAUAAAAUUUUAUUGCAUUCGUCGCUGUGAUGCAUUGUAAAUUGAUUUUAUAGAAUCGACUGCCCAUUAAAGUCGAUCGAAGUGCGUUAUAAACUGUCAACCGACCAUUUUCAGCCCAUUGAUGCGAGGAAGUUGUUUUAUAUAGCAAUGCUUUUAAAAACUGUUCUUGUCAAUCUCGGUGUGGUACUUGUUGCCCUUAUAUCCACCGACCAAAAUGGCUGCAAUGGCUUUUCCGCACUGGGACGAUCGCAAUAUCCAUGGGCAAGGUCAACUCACAAGACGCCUUACAAAAUAUCUAAUGAUAUUUAAAUAAAAAUUUUUUUUAUAUACACAAAAUAAAAUUUUUGAGUCAUUUGAA